rnacentral:SRP_RNA from 1 species
CCGCAAUCCGCUAUAGCGGGGGUGAAUUCCGCCCCGAGGACUCGCGCUGUGUCGUCUGCCACGCGUAAGAGGUGUUGAAGGAUCGGUCUCGCGCAACCUAAGCUCGUGAACCAUGUCAGGCGGGGAACCGAGCAGCAUUAAGCGAUGUCUUAGGUGUGCCGCGAGCGCUCCGAUUUGGAGCCAAACUGCGCGCGUAACGGGUGUAGUGCGUUUUCGGAGGGCGGUGCGCGG